AUGAGGUGGGAGCCUUGGGUCUUCAACCUUGACCUAGCACAGCUCCCAAUGCUCAGAGCCAGGCUUCACACUUCAGCCCUUAUGAUGUCCUUGACUUACAGAGGGGAGCAGCCCCAGGUUACACUGGUUGGACCAACUUCCAACAGCCUGAUCAACCUUCCUACAAGCCAGACACCUAGCUCCACUGUCACCAAGGGGCUUGGCCGGCUGGAGUGGCAGCCAGCCAGGAGUAACACUUCUGAAGCCCCAGGAACAUCGUGGAGGUCAGCAAUCAACAAGUCCUUCACUUGACCCUAGCCAGGCCUCCAAGGAAAACUCCCCUGCCAAUGCUACUUCUAUCUCCAGUCCAUGUCGGAGGGAAGCUCCCCGUGCAGCCCAGCUGCCCAGAAUGAAUAGCCUCCCAUGGCUGAGUGCUCCAAUGCCCAAGUCCUACAAGGAUCUGAGUCUUGACCUUCAUGCUUCUGUAGAAUACACGUAAACAUAAGGAAGGCACAAGACACUGAUGGAGUUGGAUUUCUUACAGAAGCAUUCUGGUUUUAUCCAGUUUCUCCCUAAGUUCAAAGGAGAUGAACUACUUUCUCCCACCUGAGAGCAGCAAGCCCCACUCCACUCCACUCUACCCUACCCCUUCCAGACCGACCCACAGAUACAUGUUGAGAAUGGAGGGAGGGGUAACGACGCGGGACCGGGGACGGACGGGACACACAAACACCAAAAAGACACCAGCACAAACGGUUUAUUCAAAAAUAAAUAAAUAUACACCAAGCAGAGUAUUGUGCCUGCUUCAGUUUUAGCGCGUUUACC
rnacentral:lncRNA from 1 species